ACUGGUAGUUCUCCAAAAUAACCAGUUGGUAAACAGCUUGUUAAAUAUUUACUCAUUUGGAAAAGAUCCCAUUCAUAAGAAAAAAAAAUAUACAGGAUUUAGCUUGGUGCUAUAGUCUGCUGAACUGAUUUCUACCAUUACUUCAAAAUGGUCUCAUGAAGUUUCGUGAGAAAACACCAGAAUAUGGAUCGCUGAAUGACUGAGGUUGGAAGGCACCUCUGGAAGUCACCUAGUCCACCCUCCUGCUCAAACAGGACCACGUACAGCUAGUUGCCUAGCACAGUGUCCAGACUGCACUGGAGUAUCUCCAAGGAUGAAGAUUCCACCACUUCUCUGGGCAACCUGUGUCAGCGCUCACCGUGAGGGUGACAGAGUGGAAGUGUUGCCUCUUGUUCAGAGGGAACCUCCUGUGUUGCAGUUUGUGCCUGCUGCCUCUGGUCCUGCCACUGGGCACCACUGAAAAGAGCCUGGAUCUGUCCUCUUUGCACCCUCCCUUCAGAUUUUUCCCAAGAAAAAGAGAGGGAGGCUAGAAAUCCAGAUCCAGUUGCUCUUCAACAAGAACUACCAAGCAGCAUCAACUCUAUCUGUAAAAAACAUUUGCAGUCUGCACUCAGGGAGACAGAUUUCAUAACUUCAUAUUGGAGGCAACAUGACUUGCAAAAAUAUUCACUAAUGUUCUCACUGCUUUGUACUUCAUGUCUGCUGCAGUCCGUCAACCCUCUACACCACAUACAUGUAAACUGUUAAAACAAGAGCAUCAUCAACAAAAUAUCUGUUGACUGACACCAUAUUUCACAAAUCUGAUGACUUUCUGCAUUGGCAGUAGCAACAUUUCAGCUUCAUUUCUUCGUACAAUAUGUAGAAGAAUGACGCAAUGCAAUAAUGCCUCUGGUGCUUUUUCACUCAGCUGUGCUCAAGGACUGAAAGCUUGCUUUCACACUCUGGUCCUUCCAUAUUGCUCCGUUACAAUGAAGAACUCCAAACUCUGGGCCAAAUCCUACACAAGCAGUAUCCUUGUGCAUUUAAACCUACUGAGAAUAAAUCAUACUGCCAUUUAUUUUGAUUCUUAAAAAUCAUGUAUUGGGAUUCUGUGUGGCAAGGUUUGGGUAGCGGGAGGCUGCAGACAUGGCUUCUGUGAGAAGAUGCCAGUUUCCCCCACAUCCAAGAGACACAGUGCCGGCCAGCUCUAGGACAGACCCACCACUGGCCAUGGCCAUCAGUCGUAGCACUUUUCUGAUAACAUUUAAGAAGGGGGAAAAAACCCCCACACAACUGCAUCGGAGAGAGAAGUAAGACUAUUUGAGAGCAACAGCCCUGCAGACAGACACCCAGGUCAGUGCAGAAGGAGGGCAGGAGGUGCUCCAGGCACUAGAACAGAGAUUCCCCUGCAGCCUGGGGUGAAGACCGUGGUGAGGGAGACUGUCACUCCUGAGCCCAUGGAGGUCCAUGGUGGAGCAGAUAUCCACC